CAGAGGGUGUUUUAUUGAAAAUGUUAAUUUUGGGGAUUAUCGAUGUGGUAGCUUAGCCUCCUCUCUGA
rnacentral:tRNA from 1 species